AAUAACAAGAAUAAGGAAAGAAUCUCUCUAAAUUAAAGAAUUCUUUAACUAGGACUCUGUAGCAAUUCCCAGUUAAAAUGCUUUAGCUGAUCACAGUUAUAAUAUUGAUUAUUAGAAAGGGUGACUGGCUAUGUCCUUUGGCUGAUCUGAACAUUGUCUAUACUUCAAAAUCUACAUCCUAACUUUUUAAUAAUUUAAAAAAAAAAAUAAUUAGUCUAGAAGUACUUUUAAAUGCCUCUGCAUUUUCCAUCAUGAUGCUAAGUUGAAACUGGUAGAAUGGAAAUUGGAAAGAAAUAGCAAGGAAAUAAAAAAGUAUCCUACUCGCUUUUCCAGCUAUAGAAAUGACCAAAGCUGCCAGAGAAGCACCUUAUACAAAAGCAAGACUGUCUAGAGAAGAGGGACUGCACGGUGGAUUGCUUUAAAGUGGUAUUUCCUUGAGGGAGAUACACAGAAAUACAACCUAUUUUCUGAAACUGGCAUAUGCUAUUAUUUACUGUAUGCAUGUGACACUUUCUCUUAUUUGGGCACCCUUUGCCAAAGAAUUAAAUAAAAUUGAACACAGCAAACCUU